UUUGUUAGUUUGUGUAUAAUAAUUAGAAAUAAACGUUCUUGUGAGUAUUAUUCUGCGUUAUCAGUCCAUAACAGGACUAACCUUGAGGACAGGAGCGAACGACAUCAGCAGAGAAGCAAUCGACAAGAAUCCGUAAGGACAACGAAGAAGAGGUCGAUCCAGAGGCUCAUAACGAACCUGUCUAAGCGACAGGUGGAAAUCAUAGCGGCAGCAGCAGCAGCACACUCCGCACGGGUCGGGGGCCCAUCGCCGAACAGCCGAACUUGAACGGCGCCUGCGGCGGAGUGCACGCGAUUUCAGUCUUAACUCUUACAAAAAUGCAGAAAAGAUCGCCGGAAGCAGCUUUUUUUUUUUUGAAUGCAAGUGUUCACUUCUCUACUACGGAAAUUAAAGGUUCUAACUAAGUGUAUGUCUAUCUACAACUAACGGAGAUACGAUUACGUGCUCAAAAAUGUCACUGAACUGUUAACUCUAGCUUGUAAAUCCUACUAGGGGAAGCGAAAGAGCCCUGUACUUACUCCUGCUAAUGUUUGCUACCUUAAAAUAUAUGUUUUAUAAAAACGAAACUAUUACAAUUAU